rnacentral:rRNA from 1 species
ACAUAUUUUAGAGCCUUAUUCAUUUCUGUUAACAACCGAAAUUACAUUCAAAUCCAAAUUCAAAAUUUUAAUUAUAAAAUUCAUUCUCAAAUACAUUUAUUGUAAUCCAUCUCUACUUUUAUAGGCUGCACCUUGAUCUGAUUUAAAAUAAAAUCUUAUAUAAUAAUUAUAUAUUUCUAAAAAUAAUUUUUAACGACGAUAUACAAGCAAAAUAAAAGUUUUAUUAAUCGUGGAUUAUCGAUCAUAGGACAGAUUCCCCUGAUUGGAAUAAAAAACCGCCAAAUUUUUUGAUUUUAAAGAUCAUAUCUAACAUUCAUCAAGUCUAAUUGUCUACAUUGUAGAAUAAUGGGGUAUCUAAUCCCAGUCUAUAAACCCAAAUUUCUCAACUUCAUAAACAAAAAAAUUAUAUAAUUAAAAAUAAGAUUCCACCCAAUAUUGAUAAAAAAUAAAAAUUAAUAUUUAUUAUUAAGUAAGUAUUAAACUGAAAAUAAAUAGUUGUAUUAUUUGUCUAACCGCA